ACGGGAGGCAGCAGUGGGGGAUAUUGCACAAUGGGGGAAACCCUGAUGCAGCGACGCCGCGUGAGUGAUGAAGUAUUUCGGUAUGUAAAGCUCUAUCAGCAGGGAAGAAAAUGACGGUACCUGACUAAGAAGCUCCGGCUAAAUACGUGCCAGCAGCCGCGGUACUACGUAUGGAGCAAGCGUUAUCCGGAUUUACUGGGUGUAAAGGGAGCGUAGACGGUGACGCAAGUCUGAAGUGAAAGGUGUGGGCUCAACCCGCAAACUGCUUUGGAAACUGUGUGACUAGAGUGUCGGAGAGGUAAGUGGAAUUCCUAGUGUAGCGGUGAAAUGCGUAGAUAUUAGGAGGAACACCAGUGGCGAAGGCGGCUUACUGGACGAUAACUGACGUUGAGGCUCGAAAGCGUGGGGAGCAAACAGGAUUAGAUACCCUGGUA
rnacentral:rRNA from 1 species